rnacentral:rRNA from 1 species
CUCGGGUGACGAGCGGCGGACGGGUGAGUAAUGUCUGGGAAACUGCCUGAUGGAGGGGGAUAACUACUGGAAACGGUAGCUAAUACCGCAUAACGUCGCAAGACCAAAGUGGGGGACCUUCGGGCCUCAUGCCAUCAGAUGUGCCCAGAUGGGAUUAGCUAGUAGGUGGGGUAACGGCUCACCUAGGCGACGAUCCCUAGCUGGUCUGAGAGGAUGACCAGCCACACUGGAACUGAGACACGGUCCAGACUCCUACGGGAGGCAGCAGUGGGGAAUAUUGCACAAUGGGCGCAAGCCUGAUGCAGCCAUGCCGCGUGUGUGAAGAAGGCCUUCGGGUUGUAAAGCACUUUCAGCGGGGAGGAAGGCGGUGAGGUUAAUAACCUCAUCGAUUGACGUUACCCGCAGAAGAAGCACCGGCUAACUCCGUGCCAGCAGCCGCGGUAAUACGGAGGGUGCAAGCGUUAAUCGGAAUUACUGGGCGUAAAGCGCACGCAGGCGGUCUGUCAAGUCGGAUGUGAAAUCCCCGGGCUCAACCUGGGAACUGCAUUCGAAACUGGCAGGCUAGAGUCUUGUAGAGGGGGGUAGAAUUCCAGGUGUAGCGGUGAAAUGCGUAGAGAUCUGGAGGAAUACCGGUGGCGAAGGCGGCCCCCUGGACAAAGACUGACGCUCAGGUGCGAAAGCGUGGGGAGCAAACAGGAUUAGAUACCCUGGUAGUCCACGCCGUAAACGAUGUCGAUUUGGAGGUUGUGCCCUUGAGGCGUGGCUUCCGGAGCUAACGCGUUAAAUCGACCGCCUGGGGAGUACGGCCGCAAGGUUAAAACUCAAAUGAAUUGACGGGGGCCCGCACAAGCGGUGGAGCAUGUGGUUUAAUUCGAUGCAACGCGAAGAACCUUACCUGGUCUUGACAUCCACAGAACUUUCCAGAGAUGGAUUGGUGCCUUCGGGAACUGUGAGACAGGUGCUGCAUGGCUGUCGUCAGCUCGUGUUGUGAAAUGUUGGGUUAAGUCCCGCAACGAGCGCAACCCUUAUCCUUUGUUGCCAGCGGUUAGGCCGGGAACUCAAAGGAGACUGCCAGUGAUAAACUGGAGGAAGGUGGGGAUGACGUCAAGUCAUCAUGGCCCUUACGACCAGGGCUACACACGUGCUACAAUGGCAUAUACAAAGAGAAGCGACCUCGCGAGAGCAAGCGGACCUCAUAAAGUAUGUCGUAGUCCGGAUUGGAGUCUGCAACUCGACUCCAUGAAGUCGGAAUCGCUAGUAAUCGUAGAUCAGAAUGCUACGGUGAAUACGUUCCCGGGCCUUGUACACACCGCCCGUCACACCAUGGGAGUGGGUUGCAAAAGAAGUAGGUAGCUUAACCUUCGGGAGGGCGCUUAC